GUAAGGGAAUCUUCCACAAUGGACGAAAGUCUGAUGGAGCAACGCCGCGUGAGUGAAGAAGGUUUUCGGAUCGUAAAGCUCUGUUGUUGGUGAAGAAGGAUAGAGGCAGUAACUGGUCUUUAUUUGACGGUAAUCAACCAGAAAGUCACGGCUAACUACGUGCCAG
rnacentral:rRNA from 1 species